UCUGGAGGAGUUGGAAGGCUGAGUCUGUUUAAGCAAGGCUGCUAAGACAAUCCUCCUGGAAAAAGUCUUGCAGAGUACACUUUUAUUGGAAAACAGUACCAGGUGCUACCCAACAUUU
rnacentral:snoRNA from 1 species